ACCCUCCUACUGUUGGUGCCAACACUGGAUAAACACAGUGAGAUUGGUGCCCAACAGUUUGAGUCGAUCAAGGCAUAGAGUCCUUAUCUCAUGGGACUCUAUCCUUAUCCACUUGGGGCGCACGCCAUAUCUGAUUAUGGUGCCCACUUUGAGGGUAAAAUUAGUAGGUGGACACUCCAUAAAAAUUCUUCAAUGACGUCUUGCCAAGUGACCUUCAGUCCAAGGUCCAUGGGUCAACGUUUGACCAAUGUCCUAAAAUGAAAAUGGCAGGUGACAGA
rnacentral:lncRNA from 1 species